CCCCCCCCCCCCCCCCCCCCCCCCCCCCCCCCCCCCCCCCCGCGCGGGGCGAGCGGCAGCGCAGCGCUCAGCCCUCGCUCUCCGCCAGGCCCGUCCCGCCUCGGCUCCCCGCUCCACGCACCCGGUCCCCCGCGCCUGUGCCUCUCUCCUCCCUUCCCUCCCCGCCUGCCGCUCCUGCUCCCGCCCUUCCUUUCACAUCCCUAUUUCUUGCACUGUCCCCUGCGGCCUUCCACUGUUUCUCCUCCACCUUGAGUGUCCAGCACCCCAUGUUUCCAUAUUUUUUCCUUUUCUCUCCUUUCGCAAUUGCCCCCUUAGUACUUCCCAUCAUCUCCAUCUAAAGACCACAGGUCCUUAGCAAACCCUCUCGCUUGCAGGGCUGACUGGACUUUCCAGCCCUGUUCCUGGUAAUAGCCCCUGUGCCCUCCCAAGACUGGGUCCCUCCCAGCUUACAUCCCCGUCCCCAUCCUUCUGCCAAGGUCAUUCAGAUGCUGCAAAGAUGCUGGUGUCGGCAAAAAGAUAAGGAACAUUUAGUGUGGGAUACGAGAGAGUAGGAUACAUCAGCUCAGACUUACUAAAGUGACCCUGGGACUACCUUUAAUUUGUUUUUGUUUGAGGAUUAAUAUUUAAGGAUGCAAGAAACCACUUUACGUGUAAUACGAUCUUGCUCACAAGUUUCACUUCGUGACAAAACAAACAGGUGCUUAAAUAGUUGAUGAUUAAGUAAUUUGCUAUUUGCAGCCUGAGCAAAAGUCAUGCUUAGUAUUUAUCACAUUGAGGGAACACUUUCUUCUAUAAAGUAAAAAAAAAAAAAACAGUGCAAUUAUUUUGCAGUCUUUGUGCAAUAGAUUGGUAUCACAUUUCUGAGGACAAAAUGUUUGUGAACAGCAGUCCUGAGGUCCCACAUGGGCAGCACAAUGCCAGUAGAGAUGUGUAAAUAGAGAGGGCAGUGUUUGGCCCACCACCAUCUCAUGGCACCAGGAUGGACACUGCAACCUUUGUGUCACUUACCAGUCCCAGAGGGAUUUCUGCCCCAAAAACGACCCUGCAGCUCUGCACUAUCACAUCAGAGAGGCAUUGCAAUGAAAUCUAUGCUAGUUUCUGUGUCCAGUGGCUGCUAGCUGAAGUGAAGCUUCACCUGGUCUCACAUACAAGGUAUUACUGAUACAAACAUUCAGAAUGCAUUUACAGCUCAGGGUGGGUUUUCAUGCAAUGUUAUUUUCUCAGAGAAGCCUGUCAGAAGUGAAGAGGAAACUGUGUGCAUGUCCUGACUUCCCCACCUCAAACAGGCACAGGGAAACUCAAUCUCAUUUGUGUUCCUUGGGAAGGGAUUGACCUUACAGGUUUUCCAGACAGUUCCUUCCACAAAGCUUUUAAAAAUAG
rnacentral:lncRNA from 12 species